rnacentral:rRNA from 1 species
GACGAACGCUGGCGGCGUGCUUAAAACAUGCAAGUCGAACGGAGUGGCGAACGGGUGAGUAACACGUGGGUGACCUGCCCUGCACUUCGGGAUAAGCCUGGGAAACUGGGUCUAAUACCGGAUAGUGUGGGAUGGGCCCGCGGCCUAUAAGCUUGGUGGUGGGGUAAUGGCAUACCAAGGCGGCGACGGGUAGCCGGCCUGAGGGGGUGGACGGCCACAUUGGGACUUAGACUCGGCCCAGACUCCUACUGGAGGCAGCAGUGGGGAAUAUUGCACAAUGGGCGGAAGCCUGAUGCAGCGACGCCGCAUGGGGGAUGACGGCCUUCGGGUUGUAAACUCCUUUCACCAUCGACGCGGUAGAUGGAGAAGAAGCACCGGCUAACUACGUGCCAGCAGCCGCGGUAAUAC